rnacentral:rRNA from 1 species
AAUAGAUACCCUGGUAGUCCAUGCCGUAAACGAUGUCUACUAGCCGUUGGGGCCUUUGAGGCUUUAGUGGCGCAGCUAACGCGAUAAGUAGACCGCCUGGGGAGUACGGUCGCAAGACUAAAACUCAAAUGAAUUGACGGGGGCCCGCACAAGCGGUGGAGCAUGUGGUUUAAUUCGAUGCAACGCGAAGAACCUUACCUGGUCUUGACAUAGUAAGAACUUUCCAGAGAUGGAUUGGUGCCUUCGGGAACUUACAUACAGGUGCUGCAUGGCUGUCGUCAGCUCGUGUCGUGAGAUGUUGGGUUAAGUCCCGCAACGAGCGCAACCCUUUUCCUUAUUUGCCAGCGGGUUAAGCCGGGAACUUUAAGGAUACUGCCAGUGACAAACUGGAGGAAGGCGGGGACGACGUCAAGUCAUCAUGGCCCUUACGACCAGGGCUACACACGUGCUACGAAUGGUCGGUACAAAGGGUUGCUACCUAGCGAUAGGAUGCUAAUCUCAAAAAGCCGAUCGUAGUCCGGAUUGGAGUCUGCAACUCGACU